AUGGCCCUGCUCAAGGCCGCGCGCGUCGCCGACGUCCCCACCCUCGACGUCGUCGUGCCGGACCACCUCACCGCCGCCGCGCGGGUCCUCGACGCGGAGUCGGUGGCGACGAUGAAGAGGCAGCAGCGCGGCGCGGGCCGGCGGUUCGCGGUGAUCGGGCACCGCGGCAAGGGGAUGAACGCGCUGGCGUCGCCGGACCGGCGGCUGCAGGAGGUGAAGGAGAACUCGGUCCGGUCGUUCAACGAGGCGGCGCGCUUCGCCGUCGACUACGUCGAGUUCGACGUCCAGGUCACCAAGGACGUCUGCCCAAUCAUCUUCCAUGACAACUUCAUCAUUACUGAGGAGCAUGGCAAAAUUUCAGAGAAGCGUGUCACUGAUCUUCAGUUGGAAGAUUUCCUCCAGUAUGGCCCACAAAACAAGCAAGGCAAGAAUGGGAAGCCUUUGCUGCGGAAAAUGAAGGACGGCCGGGUGUUGAAUUGGAGCGUUCAGUCAGAUGAUCCUCUUUGCACCCUUCAAGAAGCAUUCGAGAAGGUCAAUCCAAGAUUGGGCUUCAAUGUCGAGCUGAAAUUCGAUGACAAUCUUGUGUACCAAGAUGAGGAGCUCACUCACAUCCUCCAGGCCAUCCUCAAGGUGGUCUUCGAGUGUGCCAAGGAUAGGCCUAUCAUUUUCUCUAGCUUCCAGCCCGAUGCUGCGCAGCUCAUGCGAAAACUACAGAGCACAUACCCUGUGUACUUCUUGACGAACGGAGGGACAGAAGUCUACGCCGACGUGAGGAGGAACUCGUUGGAGGAGGCGGUCAAGCUGUGCCUCGCCACUGGCAUGCAAGGGAUCGUGUCCGAGGCCCGCGCGGUCUUCAGGUUCCCGACUGCCAUACCGAAGAUCAAGGAGGCUGACCUCUCCCUACUAACUUACGGGACACUCAAUAACGUGCCGGAGGCGGUGUACAUGCAGCACCUGAUGGGGGUGAACGGGGUCAUCGUCGACCUCGUGCCGGAGAUCACGGGGGCCGUCUCGGACCUCAUCGCUGUCCCGGAGAUCGACACGGAGAUCAAUGAUCUGAGCAGCCAAGCUGUGAAAGAUGCCGCGUCGACGCCAAAUUUCACGCAGCGGGAGAUUUCAUUCCUACUGAGGCUGAUGCCGGAGCUUGUGCAAUAA
rnacentral:rRNA from 1 species